rnacentral:rRNA from 1 species
UACGUAGGGGGCAAGCGUUGUCCGGAAUUAUUGGGCGUAAAGCGCGUGUAGGCGGCCAGAUAAGUCCGCUGUGGAAUCUCGAGGCUCAACUUCGAGCUGUCGGUGGAAACUGUCUGGCUAGAGUCCGGAAGAGGAGAAUGGAAUUCCUGGUGUAGCGGUGAAAUGCGCAGAUAUCAGGAAGAACACCCGUGGCGAAGGCGGUUCUCUGGGACGGUACUGACGCUGAGACGCGAAAGCGUGGGGAGCGAACAGG